UACGUAGGGGGCAAGCGUUGUCCGGAUUUAUUGGGCGUAAAGCGCGUGUAGGUGGUUUUAUAAGUCACUGUUGAAAGCUCCCGGCUAAACUGGGAGAGGUGCGGUGAGACUGUAGAGCUAGAGUUUGGGAGAGGGGUGCGGAAUUCCGGGUGUAGUGGUGAAAUGCGUAGAGAUCCGGAGGAACACCAGAGGCGAAGGCGGCACCCUGGCCUAAUACUGACACUGAGACGCGAAAGCAUGGGGAGCGAACGGG
rnacentral:rRNA from 1 species